GCUUGUAUACUUGCGUAAUCCGAGUGACAUUCUCAGGAUAUCGGUCUUGCAAGGAAAGCAAUAUGUGUCUAGGUGCUACAUGUCUCUUUGCCAAAUCAGCGACAUGUUCCUUCUCAUCUGUGGUCAACCUACCAAUAAAUGAAUGACCUUCUAAUCUAUCAGGUAAACCAUGAUUAUGUAACCCACAUUUUACAUCAAUCUUCCAACCAGAUCCAUCUUUCGCCGGAGUCGACCUGAUUUUAAAUGGGCAUCCACAUUUCUUGGACGCACU
rnacentral:lncRNA from 1 species